CCUGAAAGGGUAGGGUGCCCGCAAGGGAGCGUGGAGACAGGUGGUGCAUGGCUGUCGUCAGCUCGUGUCGUGAGAUGUUGGGUUAAGUCCCGCAACGAGCGCAACCCUCACCCCUAGUUGCCACCGGGUAAAGCCGAGCACUCGAGGGGAACUGCCAGCGUCAAGCUGGAGGAAGGCGGGGAUGACGUCAAGUCAUCAUGCCCCUUACGCCCUGGGCUACACACGUGCUACAAUGGCCAGUACAGAGAGAUGCGAGACCGCGAGGUGGAGCCAAUCCCAAAAAGCUGGCCUAAGUUCAGAUUGCAGUCUGCAACUCGACUGCAUGAAGUAGGAAUCGCUAGUAAUCGCGCAUCAGCACGGCGCGGUGAAUACGUUCCCGGGCCUUGUACACACCGCCCGUCACACCACGAAAGCUGG
rnacentral:rRNA from 1 species